GUAAAAAAGCGGAAUCCUCCCAAACCGAGCUCAAGGUCACAGAGACGCUUGUUCACUUCAGCUUAGCCCACGCCACUCGUGCGCGUUUCGCCUGAUUGAUACUGUGGUACAGUACAAGUGUCCAAACCGAAAGCGAGAACGUCACGGCGGAAUUCAUUUACUGCUAUUGUUGGCCAUGGCCGCCUAUGCUGGGCUGUUGCGCGUCGCCCUCGUCCUCAUCGCCGCCGCCGCGACCUGGGCGGCGGCGCUAGACGACCCGGCGGGGCUUCUGCGACGGGCCAAGGAGGCGGAGUUCAUGGACUGGAUGGUGGGGGUGCGCCGGCGGAUCCACGAGAACCCUGAGCUCGGCUACGAGGAGUUUGACACCAGUGAGCUCGUGCGGCGCGAGCUCGAUGCCAUGGGGAUCCCCUACAGGCAUCCCUUCGCGGUCACCGGCGUCGUCGCCACCGUCGGCACAGGCGGCCCGCCCUUCGUCGCGCUUCGGGCCGACAUGGACGCGCUCCCUAUGCAGGAAAGCGUGGAAUGGGAACAUAAGAGCAAAGUGCCUGGGAAGAUGCAUGGAUGUGGCCAUGAUGCACAUGUUGCUAUGCUAUUGGGUUCUGCUAAGAUUCUUCAGGAGCACCGUGACGAGUUGAAGGGUACUGUAGCCCUUCUUUUCCAACCAGCUGAGGAAGGUGGUGGUGGAGCCAAGAAAAUGGUAGAAGCCGGAGCUGUGGAAAACAUAGAGGUCAUGUUUGGACUUCAUGUAGCUGACAGUGUGCCGAUUGGUGUGCUGGCAUCCAGACCUGGGCCUAUAAUGGCAGGGAGUGGAUUCUUUGAGGCAGUAAUAAGUGGAAAGGGAGGGCAUGCUGCACUUCCUCAUCACACUAUUGAUCCAAUACUGGCUGCAUCCAAUGUUAUUGUAAGCCUUCAGCAACUUGUUUCCCGAGAAGCUGACCCCUUGGACUCACAGGUAGUAACGGUUGGAAAGUUUCAAGGUGGUGGAGCCUUCAAUGUUAUCCCUGAUUCAGUGACAAUAGGUGGUACCUUCCGAGCCUUUAUGAAGGAGAGUUUUAAUCAAUUGAAGCAGCGAAUUGAAGAGGUCAUAGUCACACAGGCAUCUGUCCAGCGCUGCAGCGCAGUUGUGGACUUCCUUGACAAAGAUAAGCCUUUCUUCCCUCCAACAAUCAACAAUCCUGAGCUUCACGAUUUCUUUGCGAAGGUGUGCAGUGAGAUGGUUGGCCCCAACAACGUGAGAGAGAAGCAGCCACUGAUGGGUGCCGAGGACUUCUCCUUCUACACCGAGGCCGUUCCCAAGACAUACUACUACUUUGUGGGGAUGCUCAACGAGACUCGUGGACCGCAGGCGCCUCAUCACUCCCCCUACUUCACCAUCAACGAGGAUGCACUGCCCUACGGUGCAGCCAUGCAAGCAUCGUUGGCUGCUCGCUAUCUGCUUGAGCACCAGCCCGCUACCGCUGCUAAGGUGGAACCUCGCGACGAGCUGUAGAUGGUGUCCAUGUUGAAUGAAACGGUGGAAGGACAAGGACGUGCACAGCAAUUGUUGGUUAAAAAGGGACGAGGACCUCUGUAUCGCCAGGUGAUUAUGCAACUGUUUGUACAUAAUUUCCUGAUUUCAGCGCAUUCCAAGCGAGCAGAUGACCUUGUGACGGCAUUGAAGCACUGCGAACAUGUGUUUCUGUGGUAGGUCUCGUUCGUUUUCGCAUCUGCACUUAUCCGGGUCUAUGUGUAAUCUUUGAGUGCAGUGGUGAGACAAAAUAAAACACCCCGUGGAUGAUGAAUGUAUUGGGUUGUUAAGAGUUGGGACAGACAGGAAUUUUAUAGCAUGAUUCCAUCCUUUAGUAGCAAGAAAUGGUCGAAAAUAUAUUCCCCAGCAAAAAGAAAAAAGAAACGGUUGAAACAAGGGUUUGAGGAGCAUAUAAGUCUGGUUAUUACUAGCGUUCUGGCUUGACAGUUGGACACCUGUGGCUGUGGCUUGAAAGCAUCGGCCCGCUGUGGUCGUUGGAGAAGGAUCAGAGGCAGGCUGUGCGUGAGCCCCGAGCCUCGAUCGCUUAACAAGCGUCGUGAAUCUAGUUUUUCAUUUCUGUUUCCUCUGCGUGCAUAGUGUGGCUGCAUAUUGACUAGGAUUGUUUAGGGUAAGAACCAAAGACAGUAGGUAAACGUUGUUGCAUGCCAAGCUUUUCUGUUUCACGACAUUCAUUAUUGAGUUGCGAGCGAAGGCCGAAUCCCAACUGCUGCCCAUGUGAAAGAAACAGGGACCGCCACUCAAAGUCACACGUACAGCGUGUGACUGCUCGUGAAGUUGGUCCUGUCUUUUUGUUGCCUUGGCAGAAAAAAGCUAACUUGUUGGACGAGGACCUUUGUAUCGCCAGGUGAUUAUGCAACUGUUUGUACAUAAUUUCCUGAUUUCAGCGCAUUCCAAGCGAGCAGAUGACCUUGUGACGGCAUUGAAGCACUGCGAACAUGUGUUUAUGUGGUAGGUCUCGUUCGUUUUCGCAUCUGCACUUAUCCGGGUCUAUGUGUAAUCUUUGAGUGCAGUGGUGAGACAAAAUAAAACACCCCGUGGAUGAUGAAUGUAUUGGGUUGUUAAGAGUUGGGACAGACAGGAAUUUUAUAGCAUGAUUCCAUCCUUUAGUAGCAA